rnacentral:rRNA from 1 species
UGGGGAAUUUUGGACAAUGGGCGAAAGCCUGAUCCAGCAAUGCCGCGUGUGUGAAGAAGGCCUUCGGGUUGUAAAGCACUUUUGUCCGGAAAGAAAUCCUUGGCUCUAAUACAGUCGGGGGAUGACGGUACCGGAAGAAUAAGCACCGGCUAACUACGUGCCAGCAGCCGCGGUAAUACGUAGGGUGCAAGCGUUAAUCGGAAUUACUGGGCGUAAAGCGUGCGCAGGCGGUUUGCUAAGACCGAUGUGAAAUCCCCGGGCUCAACCUGGUAACUGCAUUGGUGACUGGCAGGCUAGAGUAUGGCAGAGGGGGGUAGAAUUCCACGUGUAGCAGUGAAAUGCGUAGAGAUGUGGAGAAUACCGAUGGCGAAGGCAGCCCCCUGGGCCAAUACUGACGCUCAUGCACGAAAGCGUGGGGAGCAAACAGGAUUAGAUACCCUGGUAGUCCACGCCCUAAACGAUGUCAACUAGUUGUUGGGGGUUCAUUUCCUUAGUAACGUAGCUAACGCGUGAAGUUGACCGCCUGGGGAGUACGGUCGCAAGAUUAAAACUCAAAUGAAUUGACGGGGU